CGGAGUUAUAGAAACAGCUUUUUGCAAGACCCAGCGAGCACUCAUACUCAUCUCAGUUGAAGGGCUUCAAUGAGGAGACUCUCAGCUGAUUGAAAAUCCAGGAUUUUAACAAAGGAGAGGAGGAGGAACAGAAAGCUAGGAGGAGAAGAAGUAAUGAAUAGAAACCAAAGGUGCCAGCCAGAGGAAAUGAGAAACUGUCAUCAGGACACUACCAUGAGGA
rnacentral:lncRNA from 1 species